rnacentral:rRNA from 1 species
UACGGAGGAUGCAAGCGUUAUCCGGAAUCAUUGGGUUUAAAGGGUCCGUAGGCGGGUAAAUAAGUCAGUGGUGAAAGUCUGUCGCUUAACGAUAGAAUUGCCAUUGAUACUGUUUAUCUAGAGUUAUUAUGAAGUGGUUAGAAUGGGUAGUGUAGCGGUGAAAUGCAUAGAUAUUACUCAGAAUACCGAUUGCGAAGGCAGAUCACUAAUAAUAUACUGACGCUGAUGGACGAAAGCGUAGGUAGCGAACAGG